rnacentral:rRNA from 1 species
GACGAACCGUGCGAACGUUAUUCGGAAUCACUGGGCUUAAAGCGCGUGUAGGCGGGCCGCCGCGUCGGCUGCUGAAAUCCCCCGGCUCCAACCGGGGAACGGGCACCGGAUACGGGCGGCCGUCGAGGGGGUAGGGGGGUCUGGGAACUUCCGGUAGGAGCGGGUGAAAUGCGUUGAAGAUUGGAAGGAACGCCCGGUGGCGAAAGCGACGGC